AUAGUUAACCUGGCAGAAGAGAUACCACGAUCACAAGGGUGGUUUGCCCAGGGCGAGGCUUAUCCAUUGCACUCAGGAUAUGCUGCCACCUGUGACUUCCGCAAAUGCAGAAAGCCAUCUGCAUAAUUUGUGGUAGUGGGGGACUGGGUUUGCGCUCUCUCCUA